AUCUGUAAAGCAUUAAAUGACCUAGCCCCUAUUUAAAUCAGAGACUGUCUUGACAACUGCUGUCUGCAGCAAGGCUUUGGCUGUCUUCCCUUGGGGGGAGGCUGGAGGAGUGUGAAGCGUAUUCGUGGAGAAGAUCCACUGAUUUCAAUAAAAUCUUUAGAAAACAUUUCACUCGGUGAAACCAACUGGGAAUGUGACCUGGCAGUUUCUGAUUUCAUAACUACAAGGACGGAUGAGCUACCAAGUCCUUGGGCAGCUUCUCUCAGUCUCUUCUUGGAGCUCCUCAUUUUUAAUGGACUGACCCAUGCCAUCCCAUUGCAGUUGGACUAGAUGAUC